rnacentral:tRNA from 1 species
CAGAAAAUAAUUUAAACAAAAUAUUUACUUUGGGAGUAAAAAAUCUAUUAUCUUAAUUGCUUUCUGA